GACGGGGGGGGCAAGUGUUCUUCGGAAUGACUGGGCGUAAAGGGCACGUAGGCGGUGAAUCGGGUUGAAAGUGAAAGUCGCCAAAAAGUGGCGGAAUGCUCUCGAAACCAAUUCACUUGAGUGAGACAGAGGAGAGUGGAAUUUCGUGUGUAGGGGUGAAAUCCGUAAAUAUACGAAGGAACGCCAAAAGCGAAGGCAGCUCUCUGGGUCCCUACCGACGCUGGGGUGCGAAAGCGUGGGGAUCAAACAGG
rnacentral:rRNA from 1 species